CGCUGGGUAGGGGAGCGUUCUGUAAGCGGAUGAAGGUGUGUUGAGAAGCAUGCUGGACGUAUCAGAAGUGCGAAUGCUGACAUGAGUAACGAUAAUGCGGGUGAAAAACCCGCACGCCGGAAGACCAAGGUUUCCUAUCCCAUGCUAAUCAGGGUAGGGUAAGUCGGCCCCUAAGGCGAGGCGGAAACGCGUAGUCGAUGGGAAACAGGUUAAUAUUCCUGUACCGAUGUAUAUUGCGAUGGGGGGACGGAGAAGGCUAGGCAGGCCAGGCGUUGGUAGUCCUGGUGAAAGUGCGUAGGCUGAUGGUUUAGGAAAAUCCGGACCAUCUUAAGGCCGAGACACGAGACGAGCACCUAAGGGUGCGAAGCUGUUGGUGCCAUGCUUCCGGGAAAAGCCUCUAAGCUUCAGAUAGACAUCGACCGUACCCGAAACCGACACAGGUGGUCAGGUAGAGAAUACUAAGGCGCUUGAGAGAACUCGGGUGAAGGAACUAGGCAAAAUAGUACCGUAACUUCGGGAGAAGGUACGCCGCUGACGGUGAAGACUUUGCGUCGUAAGCUGUUGGCGGUCGCAGUGACCAGGUGGCUGGGACUGUUUAUUAAAAACACAGCACUCUGCUAACUCGAAAGAGGACGUAUAGGGUGUGACACCUGCCCGGUGCCGGAAGGUUAAUUGAUGGGGUUAGCUUAGGCGAAGCUCUUGAUCGAAGCCCCGGUAAACGGCGGCCGUAACUAUAACGGUCCUAAGGUAGCGAAAUUCCUUGUCGGGUAAGUUCCGACCUGCACGAAUGGUGUAACCAUGGCCACGCUGUCUCCACCCGAGACUCAGUGAAAUUGAAAUCGCAGUGAAGAUGCUGUGUACCCGCGGCUAGACGGAAAGACCCCGUGAACCUUUACUACAGCUUGGCACUGAACAUUGAACCUACAUGUGUAGGAUAGGUGGGAGGCUUUGAAGCACUGGCGCUAGUUGGUGUGGAGCCAUCCUUGAAAUACCACCCUUGUAUGUUUGAUGUUCUAACUUAGGUCCCUUAUCGGGAUUGAGGACAGUGCCUGGUGGGUAGUUUGACUGGGGCGGUCUCCUCCCAAAGAGUAACGGAGGAGCACGAAGGUUGGCUAAGUACGGUCGGACAUCGUACGGUUAGUGUAAUGGCAUAAGCCAGCUUAACUGCGAGACAGACACGUCGAGCAGAUACGAAAGUAGGUCAUAGUGAUCCGGUGGUUCUGAAUGGAAGGGCCAUCGCUCAACGGAUAAAAGGUACUCCGGGGAUAACAGGCUGAUACCGCCCAAGAGUUCAUAUCGACGGCGGUGUUUGGCACCUCGAUGUCGGCUCAUCACAUCCUGGGGCUGAAGUCGGUCCCAAGGGUAUGGCUGUUCGCCAUUUAAAGUGGUACGCGAGCUGGGUUUAGAACGUCGUGAGACAGUUCGGUCCCUAUCUGCCGUGGGCGUUUGAGAGUUGAGAGGGGCUGCUCCUAGUACGAGAGGACCGGAGUGGACGAACCGCUGGUGUUCGGGUUGUCAUGCCAAUGGCACUGCCCGGUAGCUACGUUCGGAAUCGAUAACCGCUGAAAGCAUCUAAGCGGGAAGCGAGCCUCAAGAUAAGCUCUCACUAGCACUUUGAGUGCUCUGAAGGGUUGUUGAAGACGACAACGUUGAUAGGCGGGAUGUGGAAGCGUAGUAAUGCGUUGAGCUAACCCGUACUAAUUGCCCGUGAGACUUAACCAUACAACACCCAAGGUGUUUGGUGUCGUUAAGCACAAGUUGAUAACCUUUACCAAA
rnacentral:rRNA from 1 species